rnacentral:rRNA from 1 species
UACAGAGGUCUCAAGCGUUGUUCGGAAUCACUGGGCGUAAAGGGCGCGUAGGCGGUUGGAUAAGUCUUGUGUGAAAUCUUCGGGCUCAACUCGAAGUCUGCACGAGAAACUAUCUGGCUUGAGUGUGGGAGAGGUGAGUGGAAUUCCUGGUGUAGCGGUGAAAUGCGUAGAUAUCAGGAGGAACACCUGUGGCGAAAGCGGCUCACUGGACCACAACUGACGCUGAGGCGCGAAAGCUAGGGGAGCAAACAGG